rnacentral:rRNA from 1 species
AGCUCCAAUAGCGUAUAUUAAAGUUGUUGCAGUUAAAAAGCUCGUAGUUGGAUUUCUGGCAGGGGACUAGAGACCGCUUGCAGCGUGUGCUCGUAGCCCCCUACCAUCCUUCUGUUAACGUGCCAGGACAUUCACUUGUCGGGCACGGGCUCAGAUAAUUUACCUUGAGAAAAUUAGAGUGUUUCAGGCAGGCUGACGCCGGGAUACAUUAGCAUGGAAUAAUGGAAUAGGACUUUCGCCUCUUCUGUUGGUCUGAGGGGUGAUCGUAAUGAUUAAUAGGGAUAGUUGGGGGCAUUAGUACUUAACUGUCAGAGGUGAAAUUCUCGGAUUUGUUAAAGACUAACUUAUGCGAAAGCAUUUGCCAAGGAUGUUU